GCCCUGGCAGCGCGUGCUCCGGGAAGGCGGGAGACCCCAGAGGGAGGGGAGAGGCAAGAGAAGCAGAGGAGAGUCGAGAUGGUGGGAGCUGGUGGGCGAGGCUGGAGGGCGGAGUGGGGGGAAGGCAGGGAGGAGGGAGAGCGCGGGGUUUGGAGUUUUUAAGAUACGAACAGCUUCCUGCGAUAUCUUCAGAAAGGAAAAUUAAACCCUCUAUCCUAAGAAGGCGCAGCAAGGGGAUGCUCGUCUCACUGCGGUCUCCCCUCGGCCUGGAGCCGCGGCCUCCCGCACCCGCCUGGGAGGCCCGGGAAGGCAGGCCUGGGGCAGAGUUGCAAGAGCCUUCGGCCGUUUCCCAUCGAGCUCCGCCUUCGGCCCGGGCUCUGCACAGCGGACUGCAGGCGGCCGCGCAAGCCUCCUGGGUAUCUGGCUGAGCCUGAGAAGCGAGACCGGCGAGAGCUGGGACUCCAGGGGAGGGGGGCCAGCCAGCAUAUCCACGCUCCAAGCCCGCUAGGGCCCAGUCUGCAGCCCAGCGUGUAGUUUCUCGCUCUUCCCUUUCUCUCCCCAGCCUGGAAGAGUGGGGGCGAGCAUGGCUUUAGGAACUCAGAAAGGCCAGGGUUCGAGUUCUAGCUCUGCCAUUUACAUGCACUGUAAACUUAGACAGUGACUUCUCCUCCCUUAGCCUGUUUCUGACCUUUAUAAUAGGAGACAAGAAGCUCUCCUCCGCAUGGAUGUGUUGAAUGAAAGAGACUGUGGAUGUAAAAUGCCUGGACCAUAGUAGGCACUUAGCAAAUUAUUUCAUCACCCCCUCUCCUUUCCCAUGAAAAACUUUCUCACUCCAAGAUACAUUCAAUAUCAGUGAGGUUCUUAAAAGCCACAGGCCCAUUCUCUGCCCACUGGGCACACCUUGUCUCAGACCCCGCUGAUGGCGCCAGUCCUCCUUAUCCGCCUGGCUGCACCACCUCACCAGGUGCCAACAACCUAGCGUGCUGGGUAAAUCCCAACUGCCACCCCCAGCCUCCAGGCUUCAUGCUCACCCUAGAGUCUCCUGGGGACUGGAGGGAAAUGCCCAGGUGUCUGGUGGGGAGGGAUUUAGGAAAUAAAAUGAUUGUAGACAAAAACUGAAUAAACACAUCAGUUACAGAGUCUCAUCUGGGUCUGCUUCGGAGGCAGGCUUGGCUCUGUCUAAUAGGGACAAGGCAGGUGUCAGUCUGAAAUGACUUGUUGCCAGGACAGGUAAGGGGAUAGUCAGAACCUGCGGUUUACCUCACAGGGUACAGAGUUGAGGAUGAAAUCAUGUUUUUCGCGUGCGUAACUUUCACACACAAAUAUAUGUGUGCACAAAUAUAUGUAUGCGUGUAAUGCCCAAGCACAUGAACUUGUGUUCAUGUGUGCAAAUAUACAUGUUCAUCUCUGUUGGCAAAAACACAGCGAGCACGAAUUUUAUCUCUGUUGGCAAAAUCACAGCCAGCACCACUAUAGCGCUAGGGUCUUACACAUGCGCAUCAGGUGUAAGUGUCCAGAGCGGGGAAGAAGGAUGCAACUGCAAAAUGGUAAAUUGCACGUUAUACCUGCACUUGCGUGCUCAGGCGAUUCUACUUAAAUCACUGCAAGUGCUCCUACGAGGUCGUUUUGCAUAUUGGAAAAAACUUGAAGUUACAAUUAUAUGUGUAUGUGCUGCAUGUGUACAGAUGCCCCAACGCGAGGGAAGGACCACUAAACCCAAAGACGCGCGUGCCCGUGUGUUCACACAGACGUGUGCUUCGGCGCCUGCACAUGGCCGGGGCGCAGGCACGCGGACGCCUACACGGAUACAUAGGCAUGUUUUAUUGACGCAUCUGGGGCACUUUCUUUCAAAGAAAGUAAGGAAUGAAAAUCCAAUCUAAGAGUCACCAGGGUUCAUCUGGAGGUCGCCCAAGGGGUAGAAAAAAUUUGUAACGACGCUAGAGUGUUUGUCCUUGGUGUAACUCCGCUCCCGGGAGGGCUGGAUACAAUACGUUUUGAAAGCUCGAGGGGCUGCCUUAGGAUCUGGGGGCGGGGGGUGGGGUACUCAGCAACUCUUGUCGCGGGCUGCUCAAGAAACGUGGAAACACACUGUGCGACUUUCCACUCCCCCGUACACGCGAUUCCGUCGCCACCUCUCGGACCAGCAGCCCACGUCCAACGCUGGGCCGACCCCAGAUACUCAAGCAGUCGGUAUUCCCGCCCGGUUCGCUUGUCUAUUCAUCCCUCUGCAUCAGGCUGGGACGCGCUCCGUCUUUAAGAGGCUCAAACGCAUCUCCUGCCGCGGGGCGGGAUCUGGGCGCCUGGGCCCCGGGGUCCAGAGGCUGGUAACUUUGCUAAUCUCCCCCAGAGGCGGGGAACGUCACGCAACCGCUGAACCCUGUCCGCGGAGACUAAACAAGGAGAGGAACAGGCUGUAAACACACAUCCUGACACGCAGGGAUGUUGCUCUUGGAGAAUGUGAAGACAGUUUGCUUCUUGACAAGCGAGCGAGCGGGCGCCCAGAUUUUUGCAGCCUUUCCGAGUCUCCCCCGAGGGAGAGGCGGCAGAGAAAACGCCGGAUUUGGGAGCCACCAGGGAAGGAUCCGCGCAGGGGAGCCGCCCUCCUUGGCCCCAGACCCGCCUGCCUGGGGCCCCCUUUGCUCACUGCCAAUGUAUGGUCUGAAGCUCUGAGGAUUGUGCUAGGGACUGGGGUCGGGGGGAAGCCUCUUGAAUAAUAACUGCAAAGAAGAAAGAGGCGAGAAUGUCCCCCUAACCUUGAAGCAGAAAGGACUGUGCUCUUAAAGCUGUUGGCUGCAGUCACAGGGCCAGUUGCCCGCCUCUAUUCCCAGAGUGAAGUGUAGCAUCUUCUGUC